rnacentral:rRNA from 1 species
UCGGGAAUCUUGCACAAUGGGCGAAAGCCUGAUGCAGCAACGCCGUGUGGGCGAGGAAGGCCCUCGGGUCGUAAAGCCCUGUUGUUGGGGACGAAGGGCGAAGGGUUAAUAGCCCCUAGCCUGACGGUACCCUUCGAGGAAGCCCCGGCUAACUACGUGCCAGCAGCCGCGGUAAUACGUAGGGGGCGAGCGUUGUCCGGAAUUAUUGGGCGUAAAGCGUCCGCAGGUGGUUUUUCAACUCCGCUGUCAAAGACAGUAGCUCAACUACUGAAAGGCAGUAGAAACUGAGGAACUAGAGACCGGUAGGGGUAGAGGGAAUUCCCAGUGUAGCGGUGAAAUGCGUAGAGAUUGGGAAGAACACCAGUGGCGAAAGCGCUCUACUGGGCCGGAACUGACACUCACAGGACGAAAGCUAGGGGAGCGAAAGGGAUUAGAUACCCGUGUAGUCC